UACCAGCACCCCGAGUGGUCGGGACGAUUAUUGGGCCUAAAGCAUCCGUAGCCGGUCCUACAAGUCUUCCGUUAAAUCCACCUGCUUAACAGAUGGGCUGCGGAAGAUACUAUAGGGCUAGGAGGCGGGAGAGGCAAGCGGUACUCAGUGGGUAGGGGUAAAAUCCUCUGAUCCAUUGGAAGACCACCAGUGGCGAAGGCGGCUUGCCAGAACGCGCUCGACGGUGAGGGAUGAAAGCUGGGGGAG
rnacentral:rRNA from 1 species